UUUUUUUUUUUUUUUUUAUCCUUUGUGUGUGGGGGGGUUUUCAGCCUCGUUUUUAACCAACUCCACUUUCCAGUCUUUCCACAAAUUGAGCUCCGGUGCAGGGCGUUCACCACGCGGGGAAGAGCUGGUUUCAGCACCAUGGAUAGAUUACUUGUACAUUUCAGGACCAUGGAGAGCGCUCUUCUUUCACCCAUCGUUUUUAGGCGCUGUGGGGUUUUGUUGUUGUUUCUGUGAACACUGGACUAGUCAUUCUUUGCUGUAAAGGUCGGCUUGCCUCUGCAACUUUUGUUAAGAAGGAGAUCCUAAAGUGGCUGAGGGCCUGCGCAACCGACACUACGAAAAUGAGAUGAAUGGAGCCCCAUCAUCGUUGCAUUCAUUAAGUGCUGUGGACAUUCUCAUAGGGAACAAAGGAUCAAAACUGUCCUUUGUGGGUCUUUUUGCGGUCUGGGCUUGCUGUUCCUAAGGCAGUAGCCAGGAAGCCCUUACCCCAAAAAGUAUCUGCACUGGAUUCUGGCAUCUGAAGCAGAAAUCACCCUUUUUUCUUUCUGAUAAAUCAUUGCAUAUCUUCCCUGUGAGUUUUGAAAUGAGGACACUAUAUAUUGAUUGCAUUGAGUUGCUUUAAGAACCUAAGCAAGUUGUGGCUUUUGAUUGGUUCAAAACAGAAGAACUUACCUUUUUAAAUUGGAAGAAUUUUAGAAGCUUAAUGCAGGAUGUGGCACAACACAUGUCUGCAACCUGAGAAAAAUCAGAUCGGAAAGAAUCUUAUUACAGUAAGAAACAGCAAGAAAGAGACACGAGCUUUAUUCAUCAGUCUGGUAAAGCUCCACUUUCCAAAGUGAGCUUUAAUAUCAAAUUUCUUUCUGGGAAAAAUCUUAUAGUGUGCCAGUUUAGACACACCAGGCAGUGUAAUCCACGUAGCAACUUGUCUUACUUUGUCAGAUUUGACAAAAAAACCCCAAAAAUUCCCACUUAGAUCUGUCAUAUCUCAUUAAUGUGGAACACUUUUGCUUUUUCUUUGUCAUGCAAUGCAAAUAAUGCAUUAUUUCUUUUACAUAUGUUGGCACUUAUAUAUGUUACUAGAAGAAUCUUCAACAGAUGCUGUCUUCAUGCAUUCCUAUGUAGACUGUGUUGUACACGUUCAAUGAUUUUUUAUCGUCUCUGCCUAGUCAGUUGUUUAUGAAAGUGCAUAGAGAAAUACAACAUGAUUGGGUAAGGCAUUUAUGACUGUCUGAUCCUUUGUACACUUUCAGUGUAUUCCAAGUGCAUCUAUGCCUUCCUCAUAUUUUCAUGCUACCGUAUAGUGGUGUACUAUUGUAGAAGGAACUAAUAGGAUGGCAUUUUCUCAUUGAGACAUACAUUUUAAAAUGUAACCCCAGAAACUGCAUUAACAGGAUGUAAAUAGUGACUAAAUAAGCUAAGAGGAAAUUGUUGUGUAGCUCCAAGGCUUUGACGUUCUAUGUGUUACAUAAACAUGAUUAUUUAUCCUGCCAAUGCCACAAGCCUUCACAAUGUACUUUUUAUACAUCAAAACCCGAGGCACUUUCUGUGCACUUCACUGGCCAUGUGACUUCAUCGCUUGGGGAGCGUUUUUAUGCCUGCAUAUAGCACACGAGGGUGCACGAGGCAUUCUUUACGGUAUCAUGAGCAAUUACAAUUAGGAGAACAUGUUAAGUGAUGUUAUGCUGAUGAGCUUGUCCCUUAUGGUUAUGGCAGUGAUCAACUUUUUGCACCCUUCUACUCCUUUGACACUUUUCUAUUUCUUUUCCUUUCAAAACCUCUAGAAGCUUCCUUGUAGUAACGUGAAUGUUCCCUGUUAAAUGUUGUGCCUUGUUAAAUAUAGCUGAAAUAAAAUUUUGAUGGAGUA